UAUAUAUAUAUAUUGAAAAUCUGGAGUAGUAUGUUGUUACCUUUUCUUUUUCUUUCUUUUACUGUCAUGUGUACAUUUACGCUCAGUUUAUGUAAAUUAUGUUGGUCUUUUAGCAUCAGACUGUGUUAAAUAAUGAGGAAUUGUGGAGCUGAAACAGAAAGAAACUUCAGUGUCAUGUGUAUAUGUGAAUGUUGUAAUAACCUGAAAGCAGUACUGAGCCCAUUUACUUUCAAAACAUGCUGUGGGUAUAUUCCGAUUGACAUUUCUUUCAUCUGCGUGUUGGUUGAAAAAAUGUAUAUACAAAAGAUGUCUAACUUGUAGUUUAUAUAUAUGUAAAUAUUUUGCUGUGUCGCUUUAGUUUUGCAGAAACAUUCACAAGCAUUUUGCAGAUCAAACUCUCUUUUCUAUAGUUAUUGUUUUUGCCUUUUACUCAAAUUACACACUCCAACGACGUAUGCAUUGCACUUCUCACUCCAGCAAUCUUGCAGUUAAUGAAGAGCUUGCUUUCCAUUUCAUGUGACUAAUUGUGAAAUCAAAAUGCUAUUUGAAGCUAUAUGUGCUUUAUUGAGCACAAUACAGUCAAAACCUGCCUUCAUUGGAAUCAAAAUGAAGAUAUACAAUGUAUCUAGUAGGAACCUCGCUGCUAUGUUUAUGGGGAGGGGACAUUUAAGAAAAAUUAUUCAGGUGAGCAUGUGAUUUGAAGCCACUAAGAAAAAUAAUAGAGCUAAGAACCUAGUACAAGAGUGUUUGCCCCCGUACAGUUGAACCCACUAAGCAUCAUCAGCAGCAGUAGGCCAUAUUUAGGUCCACUGCAGGAUGAAGGCCUCUGGCAGUGAUCUCCAAUUAUGCCUGCCGGGAGCUAGCUGAUUCUAACGUGCACCUGCAAAUUUGCCUAAUUUCAUCACCCCACUAAUUUUCUGUCGUCCUUGACUGCACUUCCCUUCCUUUGGCACCCAUUCUGUAACUCUAAUGGUCCACCGGUUAUCUGCCCGACACAUUACAUGGCGUGCCCAGCUUCAUUUUCUUCUCCUAUAGGGGCCCUGAACCACCCCUCGGGCUUGGUGAAAUAACAUAAUCCUCGGGUAGCAUAUGCUGCUGUGAAAAUCUCAGCCAAGUUUUGCUGUCGUGCGCAGUGCAUGGGGCUCGCAAGCGAAGCGCUAAGUUGCCUUUCUCUCAAACGCUCUCGUUUCAACAGAAGCCAUGAUCCUCGCUCUUUUCUGGGUGCUUUAUUUCGUAGUAAAGUACAUUCCCAUCCGUGGCUGCUAUUGGUCGCUGCGGUUGGCUACACCGCAGCCGCCGCGGGUUGCCGCCACGAGUCCACUGGCUAAGCGCACUGCAGCUCGUCGAGGACAACCGCGUUUGGCUUACGUUUAGCGCUUUGUAGGCACCAACAUCAGAAGUCAUGGCGUCUACGUUAACAUCCAAAAUAAAAUUUAAAUUGCGUGCCUGCGUGCCACGAUGACAUUUUGAAGGCGGAGCAUUGUGGCCCCGCCCCAUUCCGCAGUAGCCUUAGCAGUUCAAGGCAUUGAAGAAGGAACAGGAGCACAGCGGAGGCCAUGUUUGAUUGCCAAUAACUCUGUUUCUGCUGAACGCAUUGAAUUACUUUUUGCAGCAAAGUAUUUCUGAAAUAGUCAUUUUCACUUCAAAUGCUUUUCUCCACUUUGAUAAAAAGUGGUUCAGGGCCCCUUUAAUGGUAACUAGAAAAUCGGCUAGUUGGCAGUUAUAGUUGAACCCAUUUGUAACAAUAAUUAAAAGCAAAGAAAAUCCCAUUGUUAUAACCGAUAAUUAUUAUUACCGGGGGGGGGGGGGAUGCAAAAAAAAAAAGUAGGCAACUAACUUUAAAGCAUUUUAACUAGACAGAAAGAAGUACCAUAUUUACUCGUGUAAUUUGCCCACUUUUUUUUUUUUUUUGCUUAUUUGAGGGCUUUGGAAUGUGAGUGCACAAAUUACGUGAAAAUUUCAGAAACACAUCCUAAAUAACUACAAUGGACCCCCGCUUAUACGUCCUCCGAUUCUCAACGUCCAGGGUUUUGCGGAGAAUGAGUGCAGUCUCGGUGAACUCCACACCCGCAAAAAACUGAGAACCUGGAUGUGCGAGAAGCUCCGCCAGCUUCCGGCAGCUUCUUCGCAGCACCAUCCCCCCUCCAUUAGAAAUGAGGAAAGCUCGGGACUGAUAUCAGAGUUCCUUCCUUGUCUCCUUUUUUCCUUCCCUUGCAUUCGCUGCCCUCUCAUUGUUCGUUUCCCUUCCUCCUCUUUACAUCACUCAACCGCCUUCGCCCCUUCGUUGCAUUCUCAUUGCGCUUUCUCUCUUUCAGCAUUGUCUCAGCAGUGCCUGCUCCUGUCACCGGACGCGUUCGUGUAUACGAUUGGGAGCAUUUUCGCCACUCUGCCAAGCUUGCUAACUUUGUACAGUGCCAAGAGCGCCCCUCUCCAGUCUCCCUUCCACCCCUCCGAUAUCGAUGUCGGUGAGAGGGUGAAAGGGAGACUGGAAAGGUGCAUGCAAUUUCAGCGAUGCGAUGCAACGUGUGCCAUACGGGGUGUGCGGCUCAAAGGCGAGUGUGACAAAGCAGCUCACGCUUUUUGCGCUUUUUAACAGCGGAGCUGUUGUAGGUCGAGGCUGCGCCAUCCGUCCGUUCGCCGGUGUCGCGCAGGUCAUGUGACCAGGAGAGCAUGAGAGCCACACCGGGGGUGGGCAGGUCACGUGACCAGCAGAGGAGGAGAGGCGUGCAAAAGUUGACAGUGCAUUGUUAUAUCCGAUAUGUAAGUUAAACCUCGAUAUAAUGAAGUUGAUCGGCAAUUCGCUUCGUUGUAUUGAAAUUUCGUUGUAUUGAAAUUCGACCUUUUAUGCAAGUAAGUACAGUCGCCUAUCGAUUUUUCUUACACGGAAAGGGGCCACAUUAUUUUCCGAAUUAUCGGGCAAUGGAAAAAGUCAAGUUUGAAUGAGAAAACAAUUAAUUAGCAGCGAAUGGUACGGUUUCACGUCGACGAUAUCUUCACAUUGGCGGUUCGACGGAAGCGAAGCCAGCCACACUUUUGCGUACACUCCGCCACCGUGGCGGAUAGCGUCGCCCGCACUGGGUAGACUCUAUCAUGAAAAGCGCCGGCAGCGGGGAGCGAAUGCUUCGUCUGCUUCUCGUUUCAAAGAGACUUCGAAAUUUGAGAUUACGCAACUUCCAGUACUAUAUAAAUGCUCGGUAAGACAGCUUACAUAAUGUCACGCCGUCUCGGCACUCGUUGCACAUGCGGCAGAUAACAUCUAAAGCAGGGUGCGUGGCUGCAUAUGCGCUCAGCUGCUCUUGCAGCCGUGCGCAGCCAUAGAGGAGACUCGCGUAAAAAAUCGAGACGCGCACCAUCAGUAACCCCACUAUCCCCCCCCCCCUUGCCACUUCGUGCGCGCUUGAUCGAGCUCGACCCCUUCCUCUCUUUCCCUAUGCUUGUGCGGGAAGGCAACACUCUUGAAGCCACCAUUUUUCAUGUCUCACGCUUGCAUGCUUUCACUCGCACCUAAAGCACAUAGUGCGCAGGGUGCAAUAGGGUCUUAUUGCACAUGAACUUUAUACGGAACAUGACACUGCUGCACUUCAGCGGUGGCUCUUGUCGCGUAGCGUGCGAUUUGAGAGGUGUAUUCGCAAGUAGCCGCUUGUAAUUCAAUCAUUUGAUCAUGUGCGUCCGCAGAAGUUUCUAUUGUCUCGGUAUUCCUCCUCGCCGGCAGUGAAAUUACAUUAUGUUGAAAUCGUGUAUAAACAUACUUCGUUAUAUUGAAGUUCUAAAUACAUGUUUUUUUUAUCGUCAAGAGGUUAUAAAAAGUUAAAUACUUCGUUAUAUUGAGAAUUUCUUUAUAUUGAAGUUCGUUAUAUCGAGGUUCAACUGUAUUGUUAAAACAGGUAUCGUUGUAAGUGGAACAGUUCGACUGUAUUCAGAAAUGCGUCUUAACUUGAAGUGGAUGCUUGAUUUGAACUUAAAUGAUGCAUGUCGUGAAUGUGCCUAGGGAAAUGCCAUGAGUGUCUUGAGCACGUUCUUGCCAGGUGUCAAGCUAAAUCAAGUCAAGCAUGGGCUUCAGUUAAAGAUGCAUUUCUGAAUACAGGGGUUAAUGAUGUCUUCACCCGUUCAAAAUAUAUUGGUCACCUCUACAGGGACAUGUUCCAACUUGUUGAGAGCAGAGUUUUUGUUACAGAGGCCGUGAAUAUGGUUUGCCAUUCUUAGCAUGUAAGAAACUACGGAGCUUGUCGAGACGAGCAACUGCCUGAGUGAGAGUAGCUGCUGCAGUAAAUUCUUUCCUGCCAAUGUCAUUGCAAUAGAAGACUUCAUCCUCUUGCAUCUGUGACAUGAUUUCUACCACACUUUAGAUUUGUGCUUUUGGAUGUUGCCUACUUUCGUACAAUUUAGCAAACUUACACUGCUUUGUGACAGAAAUAUUUCCUAUAAGAGAGGUUCAUUUCUCUUGUGCUUAACCCCAGAAAGCCCAAACACCAUUUCACAUCAAAGAAAAUUCAAUCAGCUUGUUCACAUUUACUUCUGGCUAUGGAAACUUUUACUGUACAAAGAAAAGAGUGAAAUGAUAAUUGAAAAAACAAAUAUAUAUAUAUAUAAACUACAGUAAAUAAUUAGUGCUUGAUUUGCUGAACAAUCUACAACUGAAAACACCCUCCAAUAUAUCAAAAACCCUAGUAUGGGCUCUACAUUAGGAUUCCUGCACUUAAAUCUUGGGCAUCAAAUUCAGCAAAUCAAAAAUGAUUGCGUAGCGAUUUGUGGUGUUAAAACAACCUUUGAGGAAAUCUUUGCAUUGUAUGAUUGUUUCAUAUCUGCAAAUAAUGCACAGAGGGAUCUUUUGCCAAAAACAUGUUAUUUCUUUGAUUAUAAACAUGCUUAAUUCUUUUGUUAGCAUAGGGAAAGGACCAUCUUUUCAGGGACCAAGAAAAUUUUUUUGUCUCCAUAGACAAGGCUUUAGCAUAUAAUGAGGUUUUAUAAAUUGUAUGAAACAUUGUUUCCCAUAACCCUCGAGAAAGAAACCUGUAAUGAGUAAUGGGAAAAUGUUCAUGAAGCCAACAUUUUCGUAGCCACAUACGAAAAAAAAAAUAUAAAAAAUUUAUAUAUCAACAAAAAAUGUCAGAAUUCAGAAUAUAUGUUUCAAAGAUAAAUGUGCCAAGAACAGUAAAAUACUGAAAUGUGAUCAAAAUCAUAAAUCAUCAGUGAUCAGCUAGAAUAGGCAUGGCAGCGAAAGAGUUCACUACAGAUUAGAAAUGAUGUGGGUUCAUUCCCACCGCAGCCGGGCACCCACCGGUUUUAAUGGGCACAAGCGUACCUCAGCCUGGCGCUCAGCUUUCCUCAGGGGUGAUACGCUUGGGAGAGGUGCCUUCCCCCUAAAUUCCUGUCGAAACCCUCGUGAGCACAAAAGAAAAAAGGGAGGUUUGGGCCGUUCCCAUGGCAGCCAUUUUUCGCAUGUGGCAUCCCAAUGCAUCUAUGAGGUGGAGACGCCCUCGUGUUGGGGCAAACACUCCUUUUCAAGCAUUGAGGUCCAAUAAUGGCCGAGCACCUAGCCAGGAGUGCACAUGUGCCUAUUUUACCAGUAGGUACCCAGCAGUAGCACUAUUCCGCCUCCCACAGCGGAUGCUCUUCAACAAGGCCGUCCGUGGUUGGACAAAUGGUGACCUGAGACCACCCUACAUGAUCUCUAUAGGCCCCCUUUGAGAUGUGAACCCCCACAAGUAGCCGAGUGCCAUACUGGGGGACAUCUCUACCCAUUAGAAAAACCGGUGGUUUUCUGGCGGCACCAGAAUUUAAACCCAGUACCUCCCGCAUUCGAGGCAGAUGUUCUACCACUAGGCUAACGCUGUGGUGGGCUAGUUGGUACAUGUCUACUAGAAUACUUGGCGACAGCACGAAUAUGUGGGACGAGAUUAGACUGCAGGGGCACAGUCUUGUCUGUGCUCGUGUUGUCUCUCCAAACAUUCAGCGUACAAGGAAGGCAGCCUUGAAAGUUGAAUAAUCUCCAAGAUGUGUUAAGCACACCCCCUACCUCCACACUCCCUGCCCAGUGCGCUUAGCAUGCUUUUCCUCCUAUUUUCAAAUGCACAGGCUAGGAGGUUUCCUUCACACCUCUUGAUUUACACGUUGGGUAGUUGUCAUGAAUUUGUGCCAAAAUUUUGUCUGCCUGUUUUAGGCAAACUGGCACAGCGACCAUGUCAUUGUACGUGGGUGGCACUCCGUAGGCUCCUUGCAGAUUUUUUAGGAAUAAAGAAGACCUGUAUUUUUUUUAAGUAAAAGUUCGCUUAAAGGGGGCUGUUAAAAGUGGCACGUUAUAACGUACCGUCAGUCACUCCUUGAACAUACCAUCUAAUCAACAUUUGGUGAAAUUCGGAAAUUGAGUUAUCAGGAUGAUAGUGACCUGCAAAAAAAGUAAUAAUGAAGAAGAAGGCUUAUUUUGAGAUAGCUGGGGUAUUUUUGGUAUGCCCUAUUAUGCACAUGUGAACCCCCAAAAUUCUGUACAUGUCAGCGAGGUUCUACUUUUGGUAUGCAGAAGUUGGGAAAUUUAUUGACAAAGAAGUACAUUGGAGUUAGUGACCUGCUUUCAUGAACUACUUAAAUGGAGUUGUGGAGAAAAAUAGUCAUGUACAUGUAUUCAUUUUUAUUUACAUUUGUGUCAUUAAUAUAAUAUUUUUUUGU